UGUAACGACAUAUGUACACUUGGUAUCUUUUAUUUACGUGUUAGUUUAUGGUUUGCUUUUAGCUAAAACUUUAGCUAAAUUCGCUAGUUAGCAUUUGUUAGCUCUCGGCUAACUACAAGAAGUCGUAUAUAUCAAUGUACUUUGUCCCUUUUUUUAUAACGUUAUCGGCCCUACCACGGCAUGUUUAUAGUUGUUACACUGUGCUUCCCGUAUUAAUCUUCAAAUUUUGUGUGACUGAUAGGCGGUUCCAGUGCCGUCGAUUCUUACUAAAUUCUAACCCAGUGUGGAGCUGCAACAUCGUUAUGUCUUGUCAGUACCUCCUCCUCCUGCUGCUGCUGCUGAGUGUGGGAGUCUCAGCGGUAGAAGUCCAACGCCCUCGCGGUGUCCCUUUAUCAAAACGGCAGUUCUAUGAAGAGGGCAAACCUUUUACUUGCCUGGAUGGCUCCCGCACUAUUCCCUUUGACAGAGUGAAUGAUGACUACUGCGACUGCCAGGACGGCUCUGAUGAGCCAGGCACUGCUGCUUGUCCCAACGGCAGCUUCCACUGCACCAAUGCAGGUUUCCGACCGGGCUUCAUCCCUUCCUCCCGCAUCAAUGACGGAAUCUGUGACUGCUGUGACACAACAGAUGAGUACAACAGUGGGGCUGCCUGCCAGAACACCUGCAGGGAGUUGGGGCGCAAAGAGAGGGAGAGCCUGCAGAAGAUGGCAGAGAUCGCUAAGGAGGGCUUUCUGCUCAAACAACAACUUAUUCAGGAGGCCAAGAGGGGUCUAGAGGAUAAGAAGGCCAAACUUUCAGAUGUUCAGGUCAGUAAGAAGGAUCUGGAAGAGAAGGUGGAGGCUCUGAGAACUGUCAAGGAGACUGCAGAGCAGCCAGAGAAAGAAGCCAAAGAGCGCCAUCUGAAGGCCUGGGAAGAUGAAAAAGCUGUCAUUCGCAUGGAGAAGGACAAGGCUAGAAUGGCUGAGGUGUUUCUUGAACUGGAUGAUGAUGCAGACGGCUUGGUCUCAGUGGCUGAGCUUCUGUCCCAUUCUGAGCUUGACCCAGAUUCAGAUGGUUCAUUCACAGAAGCAGAUGCUCAGGGACUGUUGGGAGGAGUGGACAACGUGGACACAGUAGCAUUUGAGUCAGUUUGGAAUAACAUCAAAGCAAAAUACAUAUCAGAGACCAACGCAGACACCCCAGCACCAGUGGAGACUGCACAGGAGGAGAUGAGGGAGCCAGUCUCUGACAGUGACUCUGAGCAGUACCCUGAAGAUGACAUCCCAGAGGAAGAAGAGGAUGAUGAAGAAGAGGAUGAUGAUGAUGAUCCAGAUGAGAGAGACUAUAAGAGCCCUUCUACGAUACAGACUCAAGAAACGAAGGAUGACGAUGAUGAGGGGACUAUGCCACCCUAUGAUCAAGAAACGCAGAACCUCAUUAAUGCUGCUCAGAAAGCCAGGGAUGAGUUUGAUGAGGCUGAGAGAGCUCUCCGGGAAGUGGAUGAUCAGAUUAGGAACCUUGAGAAGGAAAUCUCCUUCGACUUUGGACCCAGUGCUGAGUUCGCCUACCUCUAUAGCCAGUGUUAUGAGUUGUCUACUAGCGAGUAUAUCUACAGGCUAUGUCCGUUCAACAGAGUAUCCCAGAAACCCAAGUAUGGUGGAUCAGAAACUAACCUCGGAACAUGGGGAAAAUGGGCAGGUCCUGAGGAAAACAUCUACUCUGUGAUGAAAUAUGAACAUGGAACAGGGUGCUGGCAAGGCCCUAACAGAUCCACCACGGUUAAGUUAACAUGUGGAAAGGAGACAGUUGUGACAUCUACCUCAGAGCCCAGUCGCUGUGAGUACCUGAUGGAGUUCAUCAGCCCUGCUGUCUGCCAGGAGCCCCCAAGCCUGGACUCAGUGCUUCAUGAGCACGUAGAGCUCUAGAUCCACUUGAUUUUUACAGCCUCCCUUUUAGAAGAAGAGCAGGACAGCAGCAAGAGCAAGGUUGUUCUUGAGGGACCACAGUCACUGCAGCAACAUGAAGUGCCAUGCCGUGAGCAGCACCACCUUGGCGUCUAUUAACAAUCAAGAAUAAUUUUAUGGAAAUUCCAAUGAGUGGUUAUGUUGUCCAAUUUCCACUGCUACCUGUUGUGUUGUUUCUGAUUUGUGUCAAAUGUAGUCAUUCCAUUGUUUUCAAAUAAAGUUCAUUUUAUCAUA